rnacentral:rRNA from 1 species
UGGGGAAUUUUGGACAAUGGGGGCAACCCUGAUCCAGCAAUGCCGCGUGUGUGAAGAAGGCCUUCGGGUUGUAAAGCACUUUUGUCCGGAAAGAAAACUUCGGGGCUAAUACCCCUGGAGGAUGACGGUACCGGAAGAAUAAGCACCGGCUAACUACGUGCCAGCAGCCACGGUAAUACGUAGGGUGCGAGCGUUAAUCGGAAUUACUGGGCGUAAAGCGUGCGCAGGCGGUGCUGUAAGACCGAUGUGAAAUCCCCGGGCUUAACCUGGGAACUGCAUUGGUGACUGCAGCGCUGGAGUAUGGCAGAGGGGGGUGGAAUUCCACGUAUAGCAGUGAAAUGCGUAGAGAUGUGGAGGAACACCGAUGGCGAAGGCAGCCCCCUGGGCCAAUACUGACGCUCAUGCACGAAAGCGUGGGGAGCAAACAGG